UUUCGGGUAGGGGUAAGGCUCGUCUACAUAUUACCCUCCCCAGACCCCACUUUGUGGGACGAAACUAGGUAGUUGUUGUUGUUAUAAAUUGGUUGCUCCCAUCAUGUUUUCUGUUGAUCUAUGACCGGUCAGACUUUUCUAUAUGUGAUGCUCCUUCCAUUUCAAUUAAUGUAAAGAAAGAUACUUGAAAACUGUGUUAAAAUUCAAUUUCUUAAUCUUCUAAGACGUCCUUCGAAUCACCAGGUUAAAAAGAAUUCCAUAGCAAAAUCUAAACUAUGGAGAUUCUGAUGACAUUUCUGAUCACGGUUUAACUUAUUGAUAGAUAAACAGAUAACCAGAUACGUUUGCAACAAGAAGGAAAUCUUUGAGAAAGAGCUCCGGUCACUCGAGGCCCGAAUCACCAGGUUAAAAUUCCAUAGCAAAAUCUAAACUAUGGAGAUUCUGAUGACAUUUCUGAUCACGGUUUAACUUAUUGAUAGAUAAACAGAUAACCAGAUACGUUUGCAAUAAGAAGGAAAUCUUUGAGAAAGAGCUCCGGUCACUCGAGGCAUUAGAUUCCGUCGUUGGACUAGGGUUAAUCUCAUCUGAAACUGUAACUU
rnacentral:lncRNA from 1 species